GGUAGCGUGGCCGAGCGGUCUAAGGCGCUGGAUUAAGGCUUCGGAGUCGUGGGUUCGAAUCCCACCGCUGCCA